GCUCCUAUCGUCUAGUCCGGUCAAGGACACGGCCCUCUCAAGGCCGAGGCUCGGGUUCAAAUCCCGAUGGGAGCA
rnacentral:tRNA from 1 species